CCUACGGGUGGCAGCAGUGGGGAAUAUUGGACAAUGGGCGAAAGCCUGAUCCAGCCAUGCCGCGUGUGUGAAGAAGGCCUUCGGGUUGUAAAGCACUUUCAGUGGGGAAGAAAGCCUUGGGGCUAAUACCCUCGAGGAAGGACAUCACCCACAGAAGAAGCACCGGCUAACUCCGUGCCAGCAGCCGCGGUAAUACGGAGGGUGCGAGCGUUAAUCGGAAUUACUGGGCGUAAAGCGCGCGUAGGCGGUCUGAUAAGCCGGUUGUGAAAGCCCCGGGCUCAACCUGGGAACGGCAUCCGGAACUGUCAGGCUAGAGUGCAGGAGAGGAAGGUAGAAUUCCCGGUGUAGCGGUGAAAUGCGUAGAGAUCGGGAGGAAUACCAGUGGCGAAGGCGGCCUUCUGGACUGACACUGACGCUGAGGUGCGAAAGCGUGGGUAGCAAACAGGAUUAGAUACCCGAGUCGUC
rnacentral:rRNA from 1 species